rnacentral:rRNA from 1 species
UGAGACACGAAUCCAGGCCCUACGGGGUGCAGCAGGCGCGGAACCUUUACAAUGUGCGAAAGCAUGAUAAGGGGACUCCGAGUGCCAGCAUCUAAUGCUGGCUGUCCUUGUGCCUAAAAAGCGCAAGAUAGCAAGGGCCGGGUAAGACCGGUGCCAGCCGCCGCGGUAACACCGGCGGCCCGAGUGGUAGCCGCUAUUAUUGGGUCUAAAGGGUCCGUAGCCGGUUCGGUAAGUCCUUUGGGAAAUCUGGUUGCUUAACAAUCAGACUGCCAAGGGAUACUGCUGAACUUGAGACCGGGAGAGGUAAGAGGUACUUCAGGGGUAGGAGUGAAAUCUUGUGAUCCCUGGGGGACCAUCUGUGGCGAAGGCGUCUUACCAGAACGGGUCUGACGGUGAGGGACGAAAGCUGGGGGCGCAAACCGGAUUAGAUACCCGGGUAGUCCCAGCCGUAAACGAUGCUCGCUAUGU